rnacentral:tRNA from 1 species
UUUAGUGUGGUGUUAAAAGCAUUCCAUGUUUUGGUCGUGGUGGUGAAUUGUUUUCCAUUAAUU